rnacentral:lncRNA from 1 species
GGAAUUUCUUUCAUUCAAGAAUCUCUCGAGUAUGUACACUUGACAAGAAAAAACCUUGGUUAGUAAUAGAAAAAUCAAUUAAUUUGAAUAUAAUAUUGUUUCCAUGUGUCUAGGGCCAAGGAAUAAAAAUUCAUAAAUAUUAAAUAAUAUAUGGGCCCGAGGGAAAAGAAUCUUUACUUUUGUAAGAAUAGGUGAAAUAGUUGGUUUAUAUAUGUAAAUACCAACUCAAUGUGCAACUCAUUUUUGUAGUUUUUUCAUAUCUCUUGCAUAUGUAUAGUCGAAGAAAGAGAGAUAAUGAGGUCAGCUGAGAGAAUGAAAGAGGCAAAUGAGCAUGGACUUUUGAAGAAGAUAGCAAGUUGGGGUCUUAAGUCCAAGAACAUGGUACAUGCAAUUGGACAGUCCUUCCUGAAAUUGCUGGUAUAUAACUUCUUCUUUUUUUUUGCGAUAAUGUGCUAUUAAUUCAUGUCUCAUUUCGGAUAAGUUUGUAUUUGGCUACAUAUCCUAAUUAGUUUUCUAAUUUAUUAGGGUUGCAGAGGAAUGGUAACAGCUGUAGAGUAAGGUGGAUGAAUCAUCUUAGCCCCGAUUUGAAAGGGGAAAUUUUACUACUGACGAAAGUCAUGUAAUUAUCCGUCAUCAAGCUCUCAAUGGCAACCGGUACUGGCUCUUUUAUUUACUCAUUUCUCUUGGCCUCUUACAUAGGACAAUGAAAAGAAGAAUUUAUUAGCGUACGUGUUUAAUAUACAAUCUUAAAGCUGCUAAUUCGUAAAAACAAUUGCUUUCUCCUGAUUAUUCUCUUGAGUAGUUAUCGAAUUCACUACUAUUACAUUCUUGCACAUCUUGUCAUAGUAGGCCUUUAUGUAGUCUAAUCCACCAAUAGUAGCAACAUCGUCAUAAUGUUUAGUCUUCAAAAUUCUGUUUUCCUUCAACACCACAAAUGUUAUCUAUACCAAGCUUCUUCUUCAGAUGGACAUGCCAGUAGUUUUUAAUGUCAUUAUCCGUCCUCCCAGGCACGUGUGCUGCAAUGGCAGCCCAUCUACACAUACACGAAAUUUAAAGUGUCAAAUGCAUUAACAUAAUAACAUAAAUUUAAUUAAAGAACAAAACAUUUCAAUUGAAAUCCUUAGAGCAUUUCCGAUGUGCUCUUUAAACAAGCUCUUAACUUUAAAUUUAAAGAGCAAGCCAAGAAUUAGAGCUUCAAUGGGCUCUUAGAGCAUCUCCAAUAGUCUCUUAGUUAGCUCCUAUAUAUAAUGUAAAAUAUUAAGCUCCCAGGAGGUUAAUACAUUACUAAGAGUUUGAACUCCAAUAAUGCUCUCUAUACACACUCCUAACACUAUAUUUUAUUAUUAUUUAAACUCCACUAUGACAAAAGUUCAAAGUCACAUGGGUGAGAGUGAAUAUUAAAUUAUAAAAAACAAGUUAAGAGCCAUGUAGUGGCUCUUAAAAAAGAGGAGAGAGAAGGGGCUCCUAGUAUUUUUAGGAGCCACUAAGAGCCUAUUGGAGCUCCAUUUUUUCUUAUCCUCUUUAUUUUUGAUUUUAAGAGCCAAUUUAAGAGGCUAUUGGAGAUGCUCUUAGAAACUCUUUAAAAAUUUAAGAGUGUACUCUCUCUCCUUUCUUUUAAAUAGCAUCUAGUAGCUCUUAACUCAAUAUAAUAUUAAUUUCCCUCCAAUCUUCUCUUUCUUUUGGUUGACUUUUUCCUCUCAUUUAUAUAAUAUAUAUAAAUGAAAGGAAUGGAAUGAAAUUUGAAUGACAAUUUUGUUUAACGUUUAAUAAUUUCAUUCCUUUCACUAUUCCAUUCCUAUCACCCUUAACUAGAGCUCAGACCCUCCACUUUGUGAAAGAAUGUAAUAAAAUUUGCAUUCACUCCUUAUUCAAAGUCCUCCCUCCUACCCCCUAUUAUUUCCUUUUAUUUUCACUCAUUCCAUUCACCCCCUACCAAACACAACAUUGAAUCCUUUCUAGCCUAUUGUUGAGCCCGUUGAAUCCCAACUAACAUUGUUUAUAGUAAUAGUUUUAGAAUAAUGAAUACAUCUAAAUAAGUUUUCAAAUAUCUUGUUUAGCAAUUAGCGACUUUAUGAUACUGUCAUUAGAUAGGGAGAUAAAUUCUUUCUUUGAUUUCUUGUUUAAAAGACCUAGAGAAAUAAGUCAACUACUAAUUUAUUUUUAUGGAUUUUUAUCCCUUGACCCCAGAUACUAUUUAAUUUCUACACCUAACGCCUCUUGUUCGUAAGUCACAGUGAUAGUUUAACCUCUUUUUCUCAUCAUUCACUCUGACAAAGAUAUCAAACACUAAACCUAGGCACGUGGAAGCUGAACCCAUGCCCAUCUUUGUUAUCUCUUCUUGAUAUGUUGCUAUAGAUUCAAAGGUCAUUGUCACAACUUGCAAGGUGCCCAAAGGCUCAAACUAUAGUCCUUUGUUCAACCCAUGUCAUUCUUCCACUUAUAAGCUCUAUCAACUUCUGAUUCGAAAGCUUUCUCAACAAACUCAACCUUGUUCAUGGUUUAAGAACCAAUGAUAUGAGCUUCAUACUAUGGUAUGUAUAUAUUUUGACCAGUGAGAAGCGAAGCUCUAUCAUUAAUGCCUCUAGAUAUUAAAUUGACCAUGCACUUAAAAGUAGCAGGAGAUGCGAAGUCUGGAUCAUUUGGAUGAUUAUUAAUGCCUGAGAGUUGAUUUACUUCCACAGUUCCGCUCAUUAAAGAUCCAGAAAGAAGGCAUAUGAUUAAAGCUACGGGCAGACCCAUCUGAAGAAGAAGCUUGGUAAGGUGAAGGAACAAAGAACCAUGAAGGCUAUAAACAUUACAGCGAUGCCGUUACUGUUGCGGGAUCAGACUACAUAAAGGCCUACUAUGACAAGAUGUAUAAAAAUGGAAUAGCAGGGAAUUUAAUAACUACUCCAUAUCGGGAGAAGGCAAUCGUUUAUAUGAAUGAAACAGGAAAUUCAAUAAAUCCUCCUCCAUGGAAUCAAUUGAAUGAAAGUAUUUACGAUAACAUUGGAAUCCUGACCAUGAAAGAAAUUGAUAAAUUGGUGUUUGAAGAUCUCGUAAAAGGAUCUUCAAGCCUAGUAGGAUCCUCAUGCAACAAUUUAUCAAUUUCUUCUAUGGUCGGGAUUCCAGUGUCAUCCUAAAUGCUUUCAUUCAACUGUUUUUGUGGAAGAAGAGUUAUUGAAUUCCUCCUCGUUUCAUUCAUAUACACGUGUGUCUUCUCCCAACUGUUCUGUGAAGUAGUUAUCGAAUUUCCUGCUAUUGCAUUCUUACACAUUUUGUCACAGGACUUAAUCUAGUCUAAUCCACCAACAGUAGCGACAUCGUCGUAAUGAUUAUUGCCUUCAUAGUUCAUUGUUCCUUCAGCACCGCAACUAUUAACUUUACCAAGCUUUUUCUUCAGAUGUACAUGCAAGUAGUUUUAAAGUCAUCAUGAGUUUUACCAUGCAGGUGUGCAGCAAUGGCAGCUCAUCUAAACAUACACGAAAUCUAUUUAAAUUUAAAACCGUUAAAUCUAUUAUUACAGUAUCACACAUUAAAAUGAAGAACAACGCAUUUGAACCGAAAUCCUUUAGUAAUAUUGUUUAUAGUAAUAGUUUUAGGAUAGUUAAUACUUCUAAUUAAGUAUUAAAGUCUUAUUUGACAUUUUAAUUAGCGGUUUUGAAAUUGUGUCAUUAAACAAGUAAGCCAAUAAAUUCUUCUUUAAAUUGUUCUAAUUAAAAGGCCAAGAUAAAUGAAUAAAUAAGUGCUGGUACCGGUUGCCAGUGUGAGUCUGAUGGCAGAUAAUUAUCAUAUCUUCCUCAGGAGUAAAAUUUCCGUGUUUAAUACUAGGGCUACGAUGAUUCACCCACCUCAGUCUACAACUCUAACCAUUAAUCUUUAGUCUUAGUAAUUACAGAACAAGUAUUAUUUCUAUUUUUAUAGGUAAAUGCUCGUUCAGUUAUUGCCUGAUGUAGUUCCCUAAUGUGGUGGAUAACAGUGGUUAUGCAAUUUAGUUUUCACGAGGAUUGAUUCCCUAUUACAAGUCAGUAAGUAUAUUUGCUUUGUUACACCUCGGACUCUGACUUCGGGUUAGCCUUUUUGUAAAGUUUUGCUGAAUGUAUUUACCUUUUGGAUGUAGGUCAGGGAAAGGCACUCCAAAAUUUCCGUACAUGCUUGACCUUGGAAUUCAGGUACUUCAAUAUUCUUGUUAUGUAUUACUAGGCAGUGUCUGUAUUGAUGCAGUAAUGCUAAGUUUUUAAUCUUUUACAGAGUUUUGAUACAAAGUUCCUCAAAAUAUAAUCAGAGCUCCCGCCCACCCCGCUGCAACUAGAAGAAAAUUUGAAACAAUUAAAAGUCCUGGAGAAUGGAUACAAGAUGAAGGUGGGUUUCUAAUUAGGAUACAUCCAUUUUCCAAAUAUCUUCAUAUUAUAUCCCUACUCUUUUGUGUUUCACCAAUAAUCUGAUGGCGGUUGCCGCCGGUGAUAAUCUCCGACGAGGUAAUAGAUUGAGGAGCCGUGUGGUCGGGAUUAUACCCGCCAGGUAAACUUACUCGCGCUUCGAGAGCAAGUCUCUCAUUGAUAUCCCCAACAAGCCCAUGAUCCAGGUACGGCCCACUUGCUAUUUCUACACCUCAAUUAUUACUAUAUUUGUUGUUUAGUUUGACCCUUUGACUUUCUUGUGAUCGUGUAAAUAUAAUGAAUAAUGAUCAUAGUAAUGUCUAAUUUGGAGACUAGAGGUCGAGAGUUUAAGUCUUGUCAUAGUGAGAGUGUUGGAUAUAAUUUAGAAAAUAGAGUUGUAGUUUAGUUUGGUACACAGGCUUCAGACUAAUAGGUGGCCAGUCUACUAUUUGUUUAUAUUUGCGGAAAUGCAGUAAUGUUAACAUACAUUAUGCUUAUUUUAACAAAAUAAUUGUAAAUGCUAGUUUAGUUGUAACUUGUGUGCUUAUUUGUUGUAUUUUUUUAUAUUCGUAUUAGUUAGUUAAGUUACUUUUUUGUAAGUAUUUAUAAUAAGAAAUUAAGUAAUUACAAAUAUUAAAAUUGGGAUAUAAUUAUAUUUUCAAAUUGGUAUACCUAAUGCACAAUAUUUGUUAUUAAUAUUAAGAUAUCUUUUCCAGAAAUGACUAUAAAUAAAUAAUAUAUUCUAAACUAAGAACAAAGGUUUUUUUUAUCAUGUGUAUACAAUUUUGAGACCCUGAGCAAACAGAGACACAGUGCCGAUAAUCAAUUUGCACACCUUAAAAAACGGCACUGGUUCUUAUUAUAAACAAUCAUUAAUCCAUAAUUAAGCAAAAGAACUGGACUUAAUAAAAGGAGCAGAAGGAUCUUCAAGCCUAGGAUAUUCAAGCAGUAAUUUGUCAAUCUAUUCCAUAGAUGGGAUUCUAGCGUCAUCAUAAAUGCUUUCAUUUGACUAAUUCUAUGGAGAAGGAGUUGUCGAAUUCCCCAUUGUUUCAUUCGUAAAAACAAUUGCCUUCUCCUGAUUAUUCUGUUUAGUAGUUAUCGAAUUCACUACUAUUACAUUCUUACACAUCUUGUCAUAGGAGGCCUUUAUGUAGUCUAAUCCACCAAUAGUAGCAACAUCGUCAUAAUGUUUUUAGUCGUCAAAAUUCUGUUUUCCUUCAACACUACAACUGUUAACUAUACCAAGCUUCUUCUUCAGAUGGACAUACCACUAGUUUUUAAUGUCAUUAUCCGUCCUACCAGGCACGUGUGCUGCAAUGGCAGCCCAUCUACACACACACGAAAUUUAAAUAAAAUUUAAAGUGUCAAAUGCAUUAACAUAAUAAUAUAAAUUUAAUUAAAGAACAAAACAUUUCAAAUGAAAUCCUUAACUGAAAUUUUUUAUAGCAAUACUUUUAGAGUAGUUAAUACUUUUAAAAAAGUAAUAAAAUUUUGUUUGACAUUUUUAUUAGCGGUUUUGAGAUUGUAUCAUUAAACACAUAGGCCAAUACAUUAUUCUUUUAAUUGUCCUAUUUGAAAGACCAAGACAAAUGAGUAAAUAAAAGUGCUGUUGCCGGUUGCCAUUGAGAGUUUGAUGACGGAUAAUUGUCUUAUCUUCCUCGGGGGUAAAAUUUCACCGAUAUCAGGGCUAAGAUGAUUCACCUACCUUAGUCUACAACUCUUACCAUUCCUAUGCAACCCUGUUAAAUUACAAAACUAAUCAGGAUAUAUAACCAAAUACAAACUCGCUAAAAUGAGACAUAAAUUAAUAGCACAGUAUAACAAAAAAAAAGUAGAUAUAUACCUAUGCAAGUUUAGGAAGGGUUGUCUAAUUGCAUGUACCAUGUUUUUGGAUGUAAGACACCAACUUACUAUCUUCUUCAGAAGUCCAUGCUCCUUUCGUUUUUUCUUAUAUUUUCUCAGCCGACCUCCUUAUCUCUCUUUCUUCUUAUCUCCGACUAUAUAUAUGUAAGAGAUAUUAAAAAAUUGUUUAAAUGAGUUGCAUAGUGAAUUGAUAUUUAUAGAUAUAAACCAACUAUUUUUACUUAUUCGUACAAAAGUAAAUAUUUUUUUUGCCCCAGGCGCAAAUAUUAUUUAAUAAUUAUGGAUUUUUAUCCCUUCACCCCAGACAAAUUAAAACAAUAUUAUAUUCAAAUUUAUUGAUUUUUCAAGUACGAACUGAAGUUUUUCUCUUGUCAGAUGAACAUACUCGUAUGGUACAUUACUCGUACAAGAAUAUACUCCAUAAAGAGGAAUUACUUUCUCGUACAAGAAUAUAUUCCAUAAAAAGGAAUUUCUUUCAUUCAAGAAUCUCCCGAGUAUGUACACUUGACAAGAAAAAACCUUGGUUAGUAAUAGAAAAAUCAAUUAAUUUGAAUAUAAUAUUGUUUCCAUGUGUCUAGGGCCAAGGAAUAAAAAUUCAUAAAUAUUAAAUAAUAUAUGGGCCCGAGGGAAAAGAAUCUUUACUUUUGUAAGAAUAGGUGAAAUAGUUGGUUUAUAUAUGUAAAUACCAACUCAAUGUGCAACUCAUUUUUGUAGUUUUUUCAUAUCUCUUGCAUAUGUAUAGUCGA